GGUAACGUGGCUCAGUGGUAGAGCGCUAGCCUUGCAUGCAUGAGGCCCUGGGUUCAAUUCCUCAGCACCA
rfam:Dipodomys ordii contig_410, whole genome shotgun sequence.